rnacentral:rRNA from 1 species
CAAGUCGAACGAGAAAGUGGAGCAAUCCAUGAGUAAAGUGGCGCACGGGUGAGUAACACGUGACUAACCUACCCUUGAGUGGGGAAUAACCUGGAGAAAUCCGGGCUAAUACCGCAUAACACCUACGGGUCAAAGGAGCAAUUCGCUUAAGGAGGGGGUCGCGGCAGAUUAGCUAGUUGGCGGGGUAAUGGCCCACCAAGGCGGUGAUCUGUAUCCGGCCUGAGAGGGCGCACGGACACACUGGAACUGAAACACGGUCCAGACUCCUACGGGAGGCAGCAGUGGGGAAUUUUGCGCAAUGGGGGAAACCCUGACGCAGCAACGCCGCGUGGAGGAUGAAGUCCCUUGGGACGUAAACUCCUUUCGAUCGGGACGAUUAUGACGGUACCGGAAGAAGAAGCCCCGGCUAACUUCGUGCCAGCAGCCGCGGUAAUACGAGGGGGGCAAGCGUUGUUCGGAAUUAUUGGGCGUAAAGGGUGCGUAGGCGGUUCGGUAAGUCUUGUGUGAAAUCUUCGGGCUCAACUCGAAGUCUGCACGAGAAACUGCCGGGCUUGAGUGUGGGAGAGGUGAGUGGAAUUUCCGGUGUAGCGGUGAAAUGCGUAGAUAUCGGAAGGAACACCUGUGGCGAAAGCGGCUCACUGGACCACAACUGACGCUGAGGCACGAAAGCUAGGGGAGCAAACAGGAUUAGAUACCCUGGUAGUCCUAGCCCUAAACGAUGAUCGCUUGGUGUGACGGGUACCCAAUCCCGCCGUGCCGAAGCUAACGCGUUAAGCGAUCCGCCUGGGGAGUACGGUCGCAAGGCUGAAACUCAAAGGAAUUGACGGGGGCCCGCACAAGCGGUGGAGCAUGUGGUUUAAUUC